CGUGCAGGCGGUGGGACAAGUUAACUGUGAAAGCGCCCGGCUCAACCGGGCGAGGACAGUUAAGACUGUUCGACUAGAGGCAGGUAGAGGUGUGUGGAAUUCCGGGUGUAGUGGUGAAAUGCGUAGAGAUCCGGAGGAACACCAGUGGCGAAGGCGACACACUGGGCCUGGCCUGACGCUCAGACGCGAAAGCAUGGGGAGCGAACGG
rnacentral:rRNA from 1 species